UUGUCGACAGAAGAGCGAAUGUGUCUUUUGCAGCAUGAGCGACUCCUCUUAACAUUGUGGAAGUCAGCCCUGUGGAGACAGAACAACGGUCACUUUUGUUGAUGCCAGCCACCCCCAGUAGGCAGAGUCCUUGUGGAAUAGAAGAGAAAUUACUGUUAUGAUAAUGCAGUCUAAUCAACAGAACAGACUGAGAAACCUGUUGGAACAGUUAUACAAGAUUCCUAGAAUCUAUAAUCUGUCUUCUAAGAAAAUACCUGGUUUGUUUAGAGAAUUUGAUAGAUCCUCUAUCUAGUUGCCAGGUAAGACUAAAUAUUUUCUAGAGGUAAAACACUCUAUCUCAAGGAAGUGUACCUUUGCUUUUAGGUUGCUUUUUUAUGCUUCUAAAAGCUGGACUCAUGUCACUACAUAAACUAACAGAAUAAUUUCCUAUAUGGAGGCUUAUGUUAUUAACAGAAGCUGUUUACUGGUAACUUCUUGUUUAGUAUUACUUCAAAUCUCUGAGGCAAAAUCCAUUUGCCUAAUGAAGCUGCUUGUGUCGUAACCCCAAGGCUGCUUAUUUUGUCUUCAUAAACUUUGUAACUUGAGAAGUGCUGUCCAGCAAGCACCACUACAGAACAACCAAUUUUUCCUGACAGCCCUGAAAGCACUGGAAGUGUAGGUAAGUCACAGUCAUUUUGUGUGCUGACCUUUCCAUGUCCUGAAAAAGUGACUUUUUCAGGGGAAUGCAAACUAAAGCCUCUCCUCCACAGGCAGGAGACAAAACUGCCUGUGUCUGAGCACAGAAUUUAGGGAGUCCAGUCAAAGUAAGUAAAUCUCUGAAGGAUCAGGGCUCUCUUCAUUAAUGCUUCAGCCCAGCUGGAAACUGCCAGCAAGUAUUGUUAAAAUUGUAUGGCAUGUCAGAUGAUACAGUACAAACUGGAAAAAUAACCAUGACUUGCUUUUACUUCAAUAAGUAAAAUAAGUAAUCCUGCUCUUAAACAAAAUUGCCUUGUGAGUAAUGCAGCCAUUUAAAAUACAGUAAUUUUUACUAUUACAGAGCUUUUAAAAAACUGAUAAAUUGUGCCCUUCCACAAUCUAACAUGGAAAUGAUUGUUAUGCUCACUUAAAAAAGGUUCUACGUUUUCUGAAAAUUUCUGACAUCAGUCAUUUUUUUUCCCUGUUGUGAGGAUCAUCAGAAACAGAAUACUGUAAAAGGAAGAAAAACUUUAUUUGCUAAAUAAUUGCAUUUGACUGGGGUACUCAGGAGCCCAUGUAAUUAAGCACUAUGCAAAAUACAACAUACAAAAAAAAUGAUGUUUAUAGAAACCGAGGUGAUGAUUAAGAAUUAUGAUUUAGUGUAUUUCCAAGUCUAUAGGUGGCAGUAUCACAUUUCUGGGGCAUGUAACCAAUUUCAAGAAUUCAGAGUUCUUUUAAAGCUCAUGCUGGAUUUAAUGCAUGCUCUAACGUGCAGGACCCCACUGUAACUUUUUACAUACUUAUGUUGCUGGGGGGGUUGUAAAUCAAUUGAGAGGUUAAGAAAAAAAAAAAGCCAGCUCAAAUGAGAUGUUUGUCCUCACUGCCAGCAGCACCCUCCUAUCACCAAGUGUUAGAACAGCAAUAAGAAAAUGAACUAAUGUCUAUCUGAAAGUACCUGUGAUCCUGCUUGCUAGAGACCUGUAUAUACAGAGUAAAGGGGUGCUAUAAGUUUCAUUAUUUAAUUUUAUCUCAUUUAAUCGCAUUAUUUAUGAGAUCUUCUAAAGCAAAUGGAUAUGAGGAUCAACUGGCUGAUUCAUCCCUCAUUUAAAUUUCUGAAUGUGUGUUUAAAGACUCAAGUCUCAUGUUUGAAAAUUAGCAACCUCUUACGUUAUAUUUUUCGACUGCUACUUUGUGCUGGUCACUACCAUUCCCAUUGCCUCACCACAGCAAACUUAGUAGGCUCUGGAAAUUAAAUGAAACUACAGAAAGCCUAGAUUGAACUUUGAAUUAACCAGGAGAGUAGGUAUCUACGUAGAAGAAAGCAGUGUACACAGGAUUUGAAUGGUCUGUGAAGAAAUCUAGGAGGGAGAUAUGUAGUGGUUUUGUAGAUUAAUGCACAAUAGAGUAAAUGUUCAUACUUCUGCACUUACAGGCAAAAAACUGAAUCCCUGCUUUGCAUCAGUAGUGGAAAUGAGGCAAAGAAGGAUUACAAGAUAUGCUAGACCAACAUAAAGCUUUCUAGAAAAAAAUACAGAGGAUUCUAGAAUAAUCCAGUGUGGAAGGGACCUCAUGUGCUCAAAGCAGUGCUAUGAAAUAAGACCAGGCUGAUUUGUCCAUGGAUGGAGCCCACCCGGCCUCUCUGGGUUACCUGUUCUACUGCUCAACUGUCCUCAUAGGGAAGAAGCUUUUCCCUGUAUCUAGGAAAAACAUUUGCAAAGUGCUUAAGGACGCACCGCACUAUUUAAACCAAUGGUCCUCAAGUGGUGCUUUUAGUACAGAGAAAACAAGGUUCUCCAUCACACCCCGCUCCCAAAGCCCGGCCAGCU